UGUAUUUUUUUCCACUAAAUUAAAAAAUGACGGUGUAAAAAAUUAUUUUGGAGUGUUGGCUACUUGCGCAGUUCCCAGUUCCCAGAUCUCUCACUAAUCAAAUUUCCCUCGCACAUUGACCUAUCCCUCCAUCGAUGAAAGAUUGAUCCAUCUGCGGCGAUUGAAGUCCUGCGGUCGUAAAAUACUAGGUUGAGGCAAGGGCCCAUCUUCAAUUCUUAAAGUUUUAGCCAUUUUUUGCUAUUGAAGCCAAGCUAAAAAAAAUUGAAGCUCUGCCCAAAUUUCAAGUUGAAGGUGGGAUUCAUACGACUACUUGAGCACAGCCACAGGUUCCAUGUACUACUAUCAUGGCUAUGGGGCGUCUCAAUAGGCCAAGUAUCAUGAUAUAUAUACAUCGUUGCAGCCUGCUCAUUUUCAAGGACGUACCUUUGAUAUUUCAAAAGCUUUAGAGGUCUGUUGGUCUAGAUUUGACUCUCAAUGACUUUCAGAAGGUUAGUGAAAAGAUUUCACUGCUUGCAGAUCUUAAGCCGAGUGGUAAAUAUAUAUGUCAUGGAAGCUUUACACAAGUUAAGUUUAUAGCUUCUCUCAGUUAAUAUAGUGAACACAUUCUUGGUCAAUGCCUAGGCAAAUGCAGAUUGGUGGUACUCCUGCACUUAUUUGUCACCUUGAACUGGGAUACUUGGACUUGUGUUAUUUUAAAUCAUUCAUUUGGUCCUAGUCAAACCCCAUCAAGAAAACACGGCAUAUCUAGAUAAUAUAUAUGAGGAGAUUAUGUAAGGCUGUUGUAGUGGGCUCUCUGUUGUUGUUACAGGUGCUUGCUGUGGCUUGCAGGUGUGGUGCACUGGUAUGGCUGCAGAUUCUGGUGUAAUUUUGCUGCACUAUUGUUUCUGCACUGAUGUUCCGUGCCCUGCUGCUGCUGGGUUUUGCAGCUGUUUCGUGUAGUGUUGAUGCGUUUUGUUUCCCCGAUGGUGCUGCUGGUUCUGCUUGUAGUUGUAUCUUUUAUUCUGCUUUUUUUGCUGCUUGUAUUAUACGUAGCUUCUAUGUUCUAGCUGUAUCUUUUUGCUGGUUGUGUAAUUUGUCAGUUUGGGAUGCAAGUUGUAAUUUUUCAGUUUAUUUCUUUGGUUUGGAUAUAUAUUACGUGUAUUAAAUACUUCCUUUUGGUAAUAUAUUUUCUCCAUUUUACCAAAAAGUAAAAAUAAAAUACACUUUCGGUGCCA